GAGAGCGAUGUGAGCUUUUCCGCGCAUCGCCUCGUUUGUUUGCUUAUUUCCAGCCCAAGGUCACGGAAAGGAGGAGGAGGAGGAGCAGGCGAAGGACCCGGGAGAUGCACACGGGCUGGGCCCCGACGUGUACGCGGCCGGUCUGGGACACAGGCCGGGGCCAGGACCGGGCAGGCUGUGCCUAGCGCAGAGGCCGGUGUCGCCUCUGGCUGGGGACUGCCCCAAGCCCCAGCACACCUUGGCGGUGUGGCACCCAUGCUGCAGCCAGCGAAGCCCCUGCCAAGAGCGGCCGCAUUCCGGAGCCGCCGGCAUGAGAGAGGCCGGACAGACAAAAAGACAGGCACAGAGGCCCCUCUGCCCAGGCUCUAGGAGAAGGGAGGGAAAGCGAAAGAGCUGACAGCAGGAGCGGCCAGCGAGGCUCCGCGCUCUCAGCCCACCUCGGGGUUCUGGAGAUAACCGUAGGCACAUGAACAUAGGACACACACAGAGACCCCCGCGAAUAGGCACCGAACGGGUCUCUGCCUCGUGCGAGAUAACUGGGAGAUAAGAGCCCGGCAGAUAACAGCUCCAGGCACCAGCAUCGGAUGUUUGGCCACAGAGCCUCCCUCGGGCUCUCCCGAUCAGGCGCAGCCGCCGCUGCCCUCCCGGAGCGGCCGAGGGCCGAGAGGAAGGAGCGGAGAGGAGCGGGAAGGGAAAGCCGCGGCGAGGCUGAGAAGGAAGGGGUUAUCAGCUGGAUAUCUGUCAUCAUCAGUUUGUACAGAAAGAGUCAUCCGUGGCAAAGGGCUGGACCAGAGCAGAGCCCGGCAGGCAUGAAACCGAGCCCGGACCUGCUGGUGCCCGGUGCUGUCGCUCCUGGGGUAGGCACCACUUUUCUUUCUGUCUUUGCAGGCAAGGUGAUGGGGAGGUGAAGAGUUUGCAGUGCUGGGGGGGCGGUAGAAGCCUGUGUGGAGCCAUGCCCUCUGCGGUGUGGAUGAAUGGAUUGCGACCUCCGAGUUCUACCGUGCUCGUUCAUUUUUCGUGCUGCAGCGAGGCAGAGCUUUGGUCGGAAAAGAAGCACUUCGCCGAUAAAAAGUUUCCUAUUAAAUUGUCAGAUUAAAGGCGAUACUUCUUUCUUGUCA